rnacentral:rRNA from 1 species
GACGAACGCUGGCGGCGUGCUUAACACAUGCAAGUCGAACGGUAAGGCCCUUCGGGGUACACGAGUGGCGAACGGGUGAGUAACACGUGGGUGAUCUGCCCUGCACUUCGGGAUAAGCCUGAGAAACUGGGUCUAAUACCGGAUAGGACCACUGCCUGCAUGGGUGGUGGUGGAAAGCUUUUGCGGUGUGGGAUGGGCCCGCGGCCUAUAAGCUUGUUGGUGGGGUGAUGGCCUACCAAGGCGACGACGGGUAGCCGGCCUGAGAGGGUGACCGGCCACACUGGGACUGAGAUACGGCCCAGACUCCUACGGGAGGCAGCAGGGGGGAAUAUUGCACAAUGGGCGCAAGCCUGAUGCAGCGACGCCGCGUGAGGGAUGACGGCCUUCGGGUUGUAAACCUCUUUCAGCACCGACGAAGCGCAAGUGACGGUAGGUGCAGAAGAAGGACCGGCCAACUACGUGCCAGCAGCCGCCGUAA